ensembl:lncRNA
CCCUGGUAAGCUUUUAAACAUUUAUGGUAAGGUGGGGAAGGAAUUUUUGACACCAGAGCUUCCUGGAUGACACACCCCUCACUUCCGAUGAGAGUUCAACUUUCAGGUUCCGGUCAUGUCCCAGUCCUUUGGUUCCGGGAUGAGGAGAAUCUUUGGUUCUGCUGUCAUUUCAGGUCAAGCUUUCUUCUUCUGCACAUGCUCUGGCUACGUGACUGCAAAGUUUCUGAAAAAUUCUUAAUCACCCUGUUGAUAAGAGAUGGGGUCUGUUCAAACUGGCUCUAGUAAGCUUGUGGGUACAUUAGGGGGACUAUAAAAGAAAGAGGCCACUGUCCAUCUGUCCAUACUUGGUGACCAAGAUUCAAAGGAGGGGAUGUGGCCUGAGUAGAGCUGGAGCUCAGAGGGAGCGAGUGACAACCAUCAUGAAAAUGGGCUCAGAAGUACUGAGGAAGAAGCUGGAUUGCCUGCUGUUUGACCUUUCAUGAAGUCAACAAACAUCUACUGGAUAUCUUCUACAUGCCAGGCCCCGUCUGGGCACUGGAGACACAGGGAAGGAUGGUUUCCAGCUGCAAACGUGAUUCAAUAACAUCUUAGAGGUUUCUAUUCUUAGUGAACUUUACCAACAGAACCCUACUGAAGAGCAAGGAUGUUCUUUGAAGACUGGUGCUCGUAAGGUACGUUUAACAGGACAGGCUUGAAAAUGCAGUGCAGAGGCCAGCCCUGUGGCCAGAGUGGUUACGUUCUUGUGCUCCGCUUCAGUGGCCCAGGGUUUGCUGGCUUGGAUCCUGGGCACAGGCCUACGCACUCCUCAUCAAACCAUGUUGAGGCGGCAUCCCACCUAGAAGAACUAAAAGGACUUACAAGUAGGAUAUACACCUAUGUGUUGGGGCUUUGGGGAGGAAAAAACCGUGGGAGUCGGGGGGAGGGAUUGGCAACAGAUGUGAGCUCAGGGCCAAUCUUAACAAAAAAGAAAAAAAAGAAAAUGCAGUGCAAGUAUGACAUUAAGGGGUAGCAGUGCUUUGUAGCUGGCCUCAAAAAAUUUCUCUAUUAUUGAGCCAGACUAGAAUGUCCCAUACUGUUUCUCAUGAGUCCUUGGAGUGAUAGAUUCAAAGAGCUUAAACAACUUCAGAAAAGAAACUUCAAAAGACCUUUUUAUUUUCUAGACAAAGCAAAGGCGUUUAUUAUAGGAACAUCCUCAAACUGCUUUGGAAGAGAUGUUCACACAGGCAGAUGUGGUGGAGAUCAACCUUGGAGUGGGUGCCCUCCACCCACAUUAGGGCCACUCCUUCCCACUUCUCUGGGCACCCAAGCAUUAGGGGCUUUAUCUCCCGCCUCUUAUUUUCCCCCCAAAAUUAAAAAGCAGAAGCUCAUUUCUCAGCAGAGCACAUGGCUGAAACAAAGAUCUUGGACCAUCCAGAGUAGAUUCUUCCACGUUGUAGGCCAGUUUAGGGAAAGGUCAGUGAACAAAAGAGAAGAGGUGAUGUUGACACUAUGUUUGUGGACUUACCGGAGUGGAGAAGAGAUGAAAAUAUGGCGUUAAACUGAAGGUAAGAAAAAAGUUACUCCCUUUGACCCAAAUGGUGCUGCAGUUCCUGAUAACACUAGCAAUAAUAAGUAUAAUGACUAGACAAGAUUCACUGAGCGCUGAUGGCUUGAUAGCGUGUUUACGUACUUUCCUAUUCGACCUUCACAACUGCCCUAUCAGGUAGGUAAUAUUAUUAUAAAUGAACAAGCCAAGGCUCAGAGAAGUUAUCUGCUCAAGUUCUCAAAGUGAGUAAGUCGGGGCAUCAGGAUUUGCACCCAUGUCUGUAGGUGGGAUUUGUAGCAAUGGAACAAGUGAAGUGUUGUGUCUGAUAAGGAGAGUUAUCCUUUUGUGCCCUAUCUGAUUUUAGAGGUCGUGCUCUCAAAUGCUGUGCUCUGGUAUCUUAAAUUCUUAUCAGGAAGCUAUGCCUCACUCAGCACAGCUGCUGCCAUUGCUGCUAUAACUGCUAGUGCAGCAUUUCCCAAAUGUUGCCUCUGGAACCUGCGGUUCCCAGUGAGGGGCACUUUGCAAGUGGAGGUGGCCUCUAGGCUCCUUUGUGGAGUCACUGUGGCUUCCCCCAGUCCCCAUUUUAAGUCUGCGAGUAGUUCAUUUUUUCCCCCUUGAGUUCAAAUCUUUUUUCUUUUCUUCUCCAAAUUACACCCCCACAUUUCUUUCUAAUGCAAUUAGAGUCUUUUCCAGAAAGCUAAAUUUGAAAGUGUUUCUGGCUAAAGCAGAAAAUUCAUUAUAUUUGUUUAAUUGUAACCCAAAUAAGAAACAACAUGAGGAUGAGAUUUUUAUUACAAGUCUCAUCCAACCUACGUCUCUAAUCCCACUGUCCUAUUUUUCUACUUAAUGCUGUAUGACUGUGCAGAGCUCCCUAAGGAGGGCCUGGACAGGCUGGAGGAAGGGUCUAGGAUGAUUGCCUGGGGAGGGCUUGGGUAUUCCUGGGUCCUUGUUUAUGGCCCUAUCAAAACAUUGUCCCUAGUUCCUGGAAAUUGAGGAUUGCAACAGUGUUCCUGUGAUUUUUUUUUUACUUUGAAUGGAAAAUUUUUAGCAACAAAGGAAGAAGAAACAUACUCCUCUCACAUGUGUUCCCAGAGUUAUGUUUUGGAUUUGAGUAUGCAAGUGGAUGUGGCAUGUGCUAACUAGACUCUCAAGGUCAAGAGUUUCAAAUGCAAAUGUCCAAAAGAAACAAUCAGGUGACAUAGCAAGCUGAAGUGCCCUGUGAGGGAAACAAUAGGGAUGGGUGAGAACUGUGGAGGGCACGCGGCCUUCUCAGAUGCAGCCCUUAUUCAUCUCCAGCUGGUUAUUGCCUCCUGGAAUUGCAGGUUCAACAUAACCAGAUCUUUCAAUUUUUUAAGGGGAGCCAGAAAUCUAGAAAUUUACAUGAACCUUCUCAAUUUUUUAAUGUUGGCAAUUAAUUUUACAAAUUAAAAAACUCUAUGUGGAAGAAAAUCACUACAUAGGAUAAGCAAAACAGAUUAGGCACUGUAAGCUGCCAUUUGCAACCUCUGCUCUAGAACUUUAUUGAGUGAAGAUAGAACGCGGAUUUGGAUAAAGGGAAGAGGCAAGCUAUUAGAGCUUUUGAAGUUUCAGAGGGUAUUGGGUGAUGUGCUGGAGAGUCAGCUUUCCUCCGCAAUCAGAGCUACGAAAGGCCGGAAUUGAAUGCCUGAAGAAGUUCCUGAGCAGAGGCUGGGAGGCCACGAGCUGGUAAUGUUGUAGACAGAACUUCUGCUUGAGUGUGCUGACCUUUGGCUUUCUUUCAGCUUCGAGGGUCUGUGAUUUUAUGCAACCAAGAACUAGGUGCUAUGAGAGUUAAAUGGAAGGACACGUUACUUCAGUUGUGGAAAUCGAGGUUCAUCACUGUUGGUACAAUUGCUUCUUGAGGUGUCUUUAGAAAGAAGCUUGGGAUGGAUUGCUGGAGACUCACCUGCGGGGUGCUCAGUUUUCUGGCAGGAAACUAGUCAGAGCAAGAGAAACACAACCCAAUUGACAUAAAGAUUCUUGUGAAAAGAAUUUCUAAAGGAUGUGCUUCAAAUAAAAAUAAAAUUGUCCCAGAAGGAAGCUUUGAGACUCAAGAAGGAAUGGUGAGGAAAUAAAUGACUCUUUUUCCAGACUCUCUUGUAAUUAAUUAGCUGUGACCAAGUGACUGGAGUCUGGUUAAUCAGAUGUGGGCAGAAGUGACAUAAGCCACUUCUAGACUGGACCAUGAAACACUACGUGACCAUAGAAAUUCUUUUGAAAACCAUUCAGUCAAGAGUGAAGCCUCAGUAACUGGGAUUUUGCAGAUGUCAUUAAAUUAAGGAUCCUGAGGUGAGAAGAUUAUCCUGGGUUAUCUGGAUGGGCCCAAUGUAAUCACAAGAGUCCUUAUAGGAGGGAAGCAAGAGCGUCGAGUCAGAGAGGGAGAUGUGACAACAGAAGCAGAUGCCAGAGUGACGUGGGGCCCCGUGCCAAGGAGUGCAGGCAGCCUUUAGAAGCUGGAAAAGGCAAGGAAUGGGCUUUUCUCCUAGAGCCUUCAGAAGGAACACAGUCCUGUCCACCCAUUUUGGGCUCUGACCUGCAGAACUGUAAGAUAAUAA